CCUUGUACACACCGCCCGUCACGUCAUGGAAGCCGGCAACACCUGAAGUCGCUACGCCAACCGUAAGGAGGCAGGCGCCGAAGGUGGGGUUGGUGACUGGGACG
rnacentral:rRNA from 1 species